CAUGACUACAGUGACAAGGCUUUUCAAAUCGAGAGGGUUUUUUUUCUUCUUCGUUCAUCUUCUAUUCUCUCUGCAGCGCCUGGUCCCUCUCAGGCCUGGCCCCCAACGACGCCGCCACCACUGCGAAGCUGCCAAAUCCGUGAAACCAGUGGUCGCCGUCCAGGUUGGCCCUCCGUUUUCAUUUCUCACAUCAAAUCAGUGACUUAGUUUUUGUUUUUUCGGGGUUGAUUUUUAAUGUUUGGCACUCCGAAUCUGAUCCUUAAAUUCGAGCUGACUCUGAUUCGGUGUUCUUUAUUACUGAUUUGAUACCGAAUUUUGGCAAUAGGUUGUGCUGAAAUUUUGAUUUCAUUCUGAUUUUGUUUGGUGAUCAAUCCAUGUCAGCUUUGAUCAUGGACUCUUGCAUAUUAUUAUAGAUUCAUACUGUCAUUUGCAUUGCAACUUGCUGCUUAUAAGAUUUUCUGUAGAUUGCAGUGCUUAUAUUAUAAUCCAAUUUCAUGUUAGUCCAACCCUCAAGUUUCAUCUAUAUCUGGAAUUGAAGAAAAUGCUUAAACACCAGAGGCAAUUGUUAUAGUAUUUUUAAGAGGUGUUUUUGCCUCGUGUGUAGUUAAGUUUGAGUUACUCUUCAGCAGAGAAAUUGUCCUUUUCUCUCCUAUUUCGCCGCAGGAUUGUGCAGGAGACGCGGUGACUACUGCUAACUGUAUCAUCAGUAUAAAUAAAAGGAUCAGAAAGCAUUAUUUAGGAAUUUCUGUUUGCACACAUUUGGCAGUUUUCUUUUUUUAUUUUUCAAUUGUUAAACGUCAUGCACCGAAGAGCCCCAUUCCCUCGUCUCCUCCUCAAUAAUGUCUCAUGUAUGAGAAAUGCACAGCAAAUUCUGCGUCAUGUGAAUGUGUCUCUCCAUGAUGGAGGGGCGCUUGUGCUAACAGGCGCAAAUGGCUCGGGGAAGACAACUUUCCUGCGUAUGUUAGCUGGGUUUUCUCGUCCUUCUGCUGGCGAAAUCCUUUGGAAUGGCCAUGACAUACAACAAUCUGCAAUAUUCCAUCAGUAUAAGCUUCAACUUAACUGGCUCUCUCUCAAGGACGCCAUUAAUGAUAAGUUCACAGUUCUCAACAAUGUACAAUGGUUUGAACUUCUUGAGAACAAGGAAGGGAAGGCUUUGGCUGCAGUGGAAUUGAUGGGACUAGGAAAAUUAGCUAAUGAAAAACCAAGGAUGCUUUCUAUGGGCCAGCGUAAAAGACUACAACUUGCCAGGUUGCUCGCAAUUGAUCGCCCCAUAUGGUUGCUAGACGAGCCUUCGGUUGCAUUAGACGAUGAAGGAGUAAAGUUACUUGAGUAUAUCAUCGCAGAACAUAGGAAACACGGAGGAAUUGUGAUUGUGGCGACUCAUCUACCCAUCGAGAUAGAAGAUUCCAUGUUUUUGAAACUUCCACCUAGGUUUCCCAGGAGGAUGACCCACGUGGAUAUGCUUGAUCGGGCGGAUAUCAGUUAAGGGCCUGUUUGGAUGCUUCUUCUUGGGGCUUCUCUACUCACAUAAGUUCGUUGUUGUUUAAAAAUAAGGAGCAGCUGAAUCUCGAUCACAUUGGUCUAUUGAUAAUGUGAACUCUGUCUCUUGGUAUAUGUGCUGCAUUUGAGAAUGCAAUUGGAAAUGGUUUUCCAAUUAGCAGAUUUUUGCUUUAUCUUGACUUGGAGUGAUACAUGCAUGUUUUUCCUUGUUUAUAAAGGCAGAGGACUGAGGUUCAGCCUUUAACUUUUGACUCUACUAGGCCUUUUCCUCACUUGGGAUUUGGAACCUGAACCCGCUAAUUGCGCUUCUUCAACUUAUCAACAGUAUGAGGGUGUUGAUCCUCUAAUUCUAUGGCUCUAGCAUCCUUAAUCUCCAUAUCUACAAAAUCCUUCUCCUCAACAGAUAACAGUGGUCGUUUAUCGGUAUAACUAAAGUAGAUUGGUCAACAGGUUUCCCAGAUUUAGAAGACCUAUCAUUAUCAAGGUCCUUGAACUUUAAGGAAGAUGAUGACUUGUUACUGAUACUGAAAUCCCUUUCCUUAUUAUAUAGCUUGUCCAGCCUUCAUAUUAAGAACGUACUAGUUGAUGAUGUUGCUGUGCAUCAUCUCA